AGAGUUUGAUUCUGGCUCAGGAUGAACGCUGGCGGCGUGCCUAACACAUGCAAGUCGAACGAAGCACUUCUGGUUUGAGAUUCGUCAAGAACUGGAUUGACUUAGUGGCGGACGGGUGAGUAAUGUAUGAGCAACCUGCCUUUCAGAGGGGGACAACAGUUGGAAACGACUGCUAAUACCGCAUAAUGUUUUGAGAGGGCAUCCUUUUGAAACCAAAGGAGCAAUCCGCUGAAAGAUGGGCUCAUAUCUGAUUAGUUAGUUGGUGAGGUAACGGCUCACCAAGACUGCGAUCAGUAGCCGGACUGAGAGGUUGAACGGCCACAUUGGGACUGAGAUACGGCCCAGACUCCUACGGGAGGCAGCAGUGGGGAAUAUUGGGCAAUGGGCGAAAGCCUGACCCAGCAACGCCGCGUGAAGGAAGAAGGUCUUCGGAUUGUAAACUUCUUUUAUGAGGGACGAAGGACGUGACGGUACCUCAUGAAUAAGCCACGGCUAACUACGUGCCAGCCGCGGC
rnacentral:rRNA from 1 species